GAUGAACGCUAGCGGCGGGCUUAAUACAUGCAAGUCAAGGGGUAGCAAUACACCGGCGUACGGGUGCGUAACGCGUAUGGAACCUGCCCUUAUCUGGGGGAUAACUCGGGGAAACUCGAGCUAAUACCGCAUAAGAUAGUAGAGAGGCAUCUCUCAGCUAUUAAAGAUUUAUCGGAUAAGGAUGGCCAUGCGUAAGAUUAGAUAGUUGGCGAGGUAACGGCUCACCAAGUCUACGAUCUUUAGGGGCUCUGAGAGGAGAAUCCCCCACACUGGCACUGAGAUACGGGCCAGACUCCUACGGGAGGCAGCAGUAGGGAAUAUUGGGCAGUGGGCGGAAGCCUGACCCAGCCACGCCGCGUGCAGGAAGACGGCCCUCUGGGUUGUAAACUGCUUUUGAUUGGGAAGAAAGCAGCUCAUGCGUGAGAAUUUGACGGUACUAUAUGAAUAAGCACCGGCUAACUCCGUGCCAGCAGCCGCCGUAAUAC
rnacentral:rRNA from 1 species